CGCGGGGGUCGCGUCCGCGCGCGGGAAGAGGCGCGCGCCCGCCCCCCCCCCCCGUGCCGCUCCCCGGGGCUCGCGACCGCUCCCGCCGGCGGGCGCUGCCUGACGGGAGGGCGCUGACAGGAGGCUCGUGGCCGGCGGUGAGGGGACGGGGGUGGGACGGAGUGAGGGACCCCCCCCCGCCUCGUUCCGCGGGGCCCUGCCCUUCGUGAGGGGCCGGGGGGGACGCGGGGCACACGCACGGUGCGUGAGGGGACCGCCGGCAGCUGGGGGAGCGGCAGGGGUUUGGGGAGGGGGCGCGGAGAGGGCGUCUUCUAGCGCCAGGUGACCCGCUGGCACCCCCUCGUCCCCCCACCCGUGUGGUGUUUCGGGCCCCUCCGGGGGGGCUUGCUGGGUCCUUUCUGUGCCGCUCUCCAAGCCAUGAGCAGCAGCAGCCGCCAUCCAUCCCCUCCUGUGAGGCCUGGGCCCAGCUCCCCCAGCUCCUGCCCAUGCAUUGGGUGGAGCAGGAACAGAACAGGAAUGGAGCAGGAGCAGAGCAAAAGCAGAACAGGAACAGAACAGCCACUGCUUUCCAUACGAUGCGACUGCAGAAACAGGACCAGAAUCUGGGUAGCUGAACAGCCAAUAUCAGCCAAGACACUUGGCCACCCCGUGUGUCAGGAACUGAUGCCAACAGCAGUUGGGGGAGCAGCACUGGUGUUCAGCACAUUUGGCUUUUUUCCUUAGGUUUUGUACAUCAUGAGAGCAAUAGAAAUCAAAGGCAUGGAAGCAGUGUGAUUUUCAGAGGAGUGUGACUGGCACAUUUUAAGAAGCAGCAUGUGGAAAUUAGUCUGACUGAAGUACAGAAGCUGGUUGCAUGUGAAGUGCUCCCUGCCACAUCUGAGCUCAACCUGGCGGUUAGGAAUAGGGGAUUGGAAACCAAGAAAUAAGGAACUCCAUAAUCUUUAGUACCCCCAAAGAACAACAAUAAAAGCCCCAAUUUUCUCUCUGUAGGUGUGAAAUAAAACAAAUAAAACACAUCCUUUACCCCUAGCUCUACCAAUUCCUUUCCACAUCUUUUCUGCAUGUAGGAACUGUGUGUAACUGGGAAAUAAUCAUUUUCUGCAGUGUGCCUUGUCAGCAGCUGUUAGGACAUCUGGAUAGAAAGCCAUCUGGUGCUUAUAUGGUGGCAAACGCCACCAUAAACUUCCAGAAUCCCCUUCCUGUUGCAAAGUUGCUUGAACUUUAAAUGGCAGCAGGGCUCUAAGGUAAGUCCUGCUUGCAGGAUGAGAGGAGGGGAGCUGAAAAGCAGCUUUCAACAUGGAACUUCGGAUGGUAACAGAAGUUUUGAUACUCCACCCAAAGUCUCAGAGACAAGCUUUUGACUUCUUCAGCAUCAGUAGAAACUCCCUCCACCCCAGUUCCUCCCCACAUGGAGCAGUAUCUCCAAAGAACUGUAGACAGUUUGAUUUCAUCUCAUCCCAUCCUUUCCUGGGUAUUUUUCCAUUAGAGCUUUGCACAGAGCCCACAGGAUUAGGGAAGAGCCAGAUCUGAGUCUGUCAAGCUGUGGUUCUGUUUUCAAUGGUUAUAUAUAUUGUGCUCUGUGUUGAAUUAAAACUACAAUAAAAGUCCUCUCACUUGUUACUGUA